GAUGAACGCUGGCGGCGUGCCUAAUACAUGCAAGUCGAACGAACAGAUGAGGAGCUUGCUCCUCUGACGUUAUCGGCCGACGGGUGAUUAACUCGUGGUUAACCUAACUACAAGACUGGGAUAACAUCAGGAAACCGUGGCUAAUACCGGAUAAUAUAUUGAACCGCGUUGUUCAAUAGUGAAAGACGGUUUUGCUGUUACUUAUAGACUGAUCCGCGCCGCAUUAGCUAGUUGGUAAGGUAACGGCUUAGCAACACUACGAUGCGUAGCCGACCUGAGAGGGUGAUCGGCCACACGGGAACUGAGACACGGUCGAGACACCUACGGGAGGCAGCAGUAGGGAAUCUUCCGCAAUGGGCGAAAGCGUGACGGAGCAACGCGGCGUGAGUGAUGAAGGUCCUCGGAUCGUAAAACUCUGUUGUUAGGGAAGAAGAAAAGUGUAAGUAACUAUGCACGUAAUGACGGUACCGAAUCAGAAAGCCCCGGCUAACUACGUG
rnacentral:rRNA from 1 species